rnacentral:snRNA from 1 species
AUACCUUUCUCGGCCUUUUGACUAAGAUCAAAUGUAGUAUCUGUUCUUAUCAGUUUAAUAUUUGAUAUGUGGGCCAUGUGCCCACAAUGAUAUUAAAUUAAUUUUUUAUGGGGGAGGGUCCACCACACUAGCUUGCUAGUGGGGCCUUCAUGUGUUGCUUGGGCGUUGCACUACUGUCUAGGCCAGGCGCUCCCCAA